UGAAGGAAAUUCCCGAAAUUUGUUGGGAAAAUUCCCAAAACUUGAAAGAAAAUUCCAGAAUUUGAAGGAAAAUCCCAAAAUUUGGUGGGAAAAUCCCAAAAUUUGGUGGGAAAAUCCCAAAAUUUGAAGGAAAAUCUCCAAAACUUGGAGGAAAAUUCCGAAACUUGAAAGAAAAUUCCAGAAUUUGAAAGAAAAUCCCCAAAAUUUGAAAGAAAACCCCAGAAUUUGAAGGAAACUUCCCAAAAUUUUAUGGAAAUUCCCAGAAUUUGUUGGGAAUUCCCCGGAAUUUUCUGGAAUCCCCGGAAUUUUCCAGAACUCCCAGAACUUUCUGGAAAUCCUCGGAACUUUCCGGAACUCCUGGAACUUUCUGGAACUUUCUGGAACUCCCGGAAUUUUCUGGAAAUCCCCAGAAUUUUCCGGAAAUCCCCAGAAUUUGUUGGGAAUUCUGGAACUUUCCGGAACUCCCGGAAUUUUCUGGAACUCCCGGAAUUUUCUGGAACUCCCGGAAUUUUCUGGAAUUCCCGGAAUUUUCUGGAAAUCCCCGGAAUUUUCCGGAACUCCCCAGAAUUUGUUGGGAACCCCCGGAACUUUCCAGAACUCCCGGAAUUUUCCGGAACCCCCGGAAUUUUCUGGAAUUCCCGGAACUUUCCGGAAUCGCCGCUUUCAC
rnacentral:lncRNA from 1 species